rnacentral:rRNA from 1 species
GUUCGGAAUUACUGGGCGUAAAGGGCUCGUCGGCGGCCAACUAAGUCGGACGUGAAAUCCCUCGGCUUAACCGGGGAACUGCGUCCGAUACUGGAUGGCUUGAGGUUGGGAGAGGGAUGCGGAAUUCCAGGUGUAGCGGUGAAAUGCGUAGAUAUCUGGAGGAACACCGGUGGCGAAGGCGGCAUCCUGGACCAAUUCUGACGCUGAGGAGCGAAAGUGUGGGGAGCGAACAGG